GAUGAACGCUGGCGGCGUGCCUAAUACAUGCAAGUCGAGCGAACAGAUGAGGAGCUUGCUCCUCUGACGUUAGCGGCGGACGGGUGAGUAACACGUGGAUAACCUACCUAUAAGACUGGGAUAACUUCGGGAAACCGGAGCUAAUACCGGAUAAUAUAUUGAACCGCAUGGUUCAAUAGUGAAAGACGGUUUUGCUGUCACUUAUAGAUGGAUCCGCGCCGCAUUAGCUAGUUGGUACGGUAACGGCUUACCAAGGCAACGAUGCGUAGCCGACCUGAGGGGGUGGUAGCCCACCCUGGAGCUGGACCGCGGUCCAGAGGCCUACGGGAGGCAGCAGAAGGGAAUCGUCGGCAAUGGGCGAAAGUCUGACGGAGCAGCGCGGCGUGAGUUAUGAAGGUCUUCGGAUCGGAAAGCUCGGUUAUGAGGGAAGAACAAAUUUGUAAGUAGCUAUGCAGGUCUUGACGGUAACUAAUCAGGAAGCCACGGCUAACUACGUG
rnacentral:rRNA from 1 species